UACGUAGGUGGCAAGCGUUGUCCGGAUUUAUUGGGCGUAAAGAGCUCGUAGGCGGUUCGGCAAGUCAGCUGUGAAAUCUCCACGCUCAACGUGGAGGGGUCAGCUGAUACUGCUGUGACUUGAGUCCGGUAGGGGAGUGUGGAAUUCCCGGUGUAGCGGUGAAAUGCGCAGAUAUCGGGAGGAACACCAGUAGCGAAGGCGGCACUCUGGGCCGGUACUGACGCUGAGGAGCGAAAGCGUGGGGAGCAAACAGG
rnacentral:rRNA from 1 species